rnacentral:rRNA from 1 species
AUUGAACGCUGGCGGCAUGCCUUACACAUGCAAGUCGAACGGUAACAGGUCUUCGGAUGCUGACGAGUGGCGAACGGGUGAGUAAUACAUCGGAACGUGCCCGAUCGUGGGGAUAACGAGGCGAAAGCUUUGCUAAUACCGCAUACGAUCUACGGAUGAAAGCGGGGGAUCUUCGGACCUCGCGCGGACGGAGCGGCCGAUGGCAGAUUAGGUAGUUGGUGGGAUAAAAGCUUACCAAGCCGACGAUCUGUAGCUGGUCUGAGAGGAUGAUCAGCCACACUGGGACUGAGACACGGCCCAGACUCCUACGGGAGGCAGCAGUGGGGAAUUUUGGACAAUGGGCGAAAGCCUGAUCCAGCCAUGCCGCGUGCAGGAUGAAGGCCUUCGGGUUGUAAACUGCUUUUGUACGGAACGAAAAGCCUCUUUCUAAUAAAGAGGGGUCAUGACGGUACCGUAAGAAUAAGCACCGGCUAACUACGUG